rnacentral:rRNA from 1 species
AACGGACGCUGGCGGCGUGCCUAACACAUGCAAGUCGUGCGAGAAAGUUCCUUCGGGAGCGAGUAAAGCGGCGCACGGGUGAGUAACACGUAGGUAACCUGCCCCCCAGUCUGGAACAACUAGAGGAAACUCUAGCUAAUGCCGGAUGAGACCACGAUCCCUUCGGGGGUUGCGGCCAAAGAUGGCCUCUACUUGUAAGCUAUCGCUGAGGGAUGGGCCUGCGGGCCAUUAGCUUGUUGGUGAGGUAACGGCUCACCAAGGCUGUGAUGGCUAGCUGGUCUGAGAGGAUGACCAGCCACACUGGGACUGAGACACGGCCCAGACUCCUACGGGAGGCAGCAGUGGGGAAUAUUGCGCAAUGGGCGAAAGCCUGACGCAGCGACGCCGCGUGGGUGAUGAAGGCC